UACGAAGGGGGGCUAGCGUUGCUCGGAAUGACUGGGCGUAAAGGGCGCGUAGGCGGCUUGCACAGUCAGGCGUGAAAUUCCUGGGCUCAACCUGGGGACUGCGCUUGAGACGUGUGGGCUUGAGUGGGGAAGAGGGUCGUGGAAUUCCCAGUGUAGAGGUGAAAUUCGUAGAUAUUGGGAAGAACACCGGUGGCGAAGGCGGCGACCUGGUCCUUGACUGACGCUGAGGCGCGAAAGCGUGGGGAGCAAACAGG
rnacentral:rRNA from 1 species